rnacentral:rRNA from 1 species
UACGAAGGGGGCUAGCGUUACUCGGAUUUACUGGGCGUAACGGGCGCGUAGGCGGCUUGUCCAGUCAGACGUGAAAUUCCUGGGCUCAACCUGGGGGCUGCGUUUGAUACGUAUGGGCUUGAGUUCGGAAGAGGGUCGUGGAAUUCCCAGUGUAGAGGUGAAAUUCGUAGAUAUUGGGAAGAACACCGGUGGCGAAGGCGGCUCACUGGCGCAUUACUGACGCUCAGGCGCGAUAGCGUGGGGAUCAAACAGG